UACGAAGGUGGCAAGCGUUACUCGGAAUUACUAGGCGUAAAGGGCAGGUAGGCGGCUUGGUAAGUCUGUUGUGAAAGCUCCUGGCUUAACCGGGAGAGGUCAACGGAAACUGCCGAGCUUGAGUGUAGGAGAGGGUACUGGAAUUCCCGGUGUAGCGGUGAAAUGCGCAGAGAUCGGGAGGAACACCAACGGCGAAAGCAGGUACCUGGACUACUACUGACGCUCAGCUGCGAAAGCUAGGGGAGCAAACAGG
rnacentral:rRNA from 1 species